AUCUCAAAAUAAAUCAUAACCAUUUAAAUGUUCCUCCCUGAUCUUUCUUUCAGACAAUGUUUACCUAAUGGCCCUGAAACCAAGCUCCUUUCCUUCUUCCUUUCAUAUAACAUCCAUAUUUUUAAAUGUACACUGUGCUAGUUCAUAAAAUGAAUAAAAAACAGGUCUCUGCCCUCAAGGAGUUCACAGUCUCAAAAGAAGAGAAAACCACGUAAACAUGUAAUUUCUGAACAGUGUGAAAUGCUAUAGGGUAGAGAUUCAUUCACUGGAAGAGCAUUUAUUGAGCACCUACAGUGACCAGGGCUGGACCAAGUGCAGUGAGUGCUGCAGGAAGCAGGAAGCCAAGCAGGCCUUCAGAGGCUCCAGCCUGUUCUCUUCCUCUACCCACUCAUCCCUCCCUUGUUGUCAGUUACCCAGAGCUCCAUCUCCAGACUCAGGUACCUAGACCUAUUUAAUCCAACUGGCAGCUGGAUUUUGCCCUUGGAUGUCCCACAGGCACUCAGUGUACCUCAAACUGAACUUAGCCAUUUCCCCCACUUCCUCUUUCCCCUAAAACUCAGCUUCUCUUGGACCCACUAUCCACCCACGGAUCCAAGCCAGACACCUGGAUGUCCCUUCUAUCCCCCUCACCUGCUCACCUCACAUCCAUCAGUCUCUGUGUCCUGUUAAUUACUGCUUCAGGAUUUCUCUAAUUGACCACUGUCCUCUCAUCCUCCCUGAAGCUCCCCUGGUCCAGGUCCUCAUUACCUCUCACCUGGACCAUCAUGAUUUCCUCCUCCUCCUGUUUUCCUGUAAUUGAAGAACAAUAUGUUCUGAGACCAGACAGAGCAGAAUUAAAGUCCCAGUGCCAUCAUUUGGGGACCUUUGUCACCCUGGGUAAGUUAUUAAACCUCUCCAGACCCCAGUUUUCCCAUCCAUAAAAUGACACCUCCAGGACUGGCCUUGUUGUAAAGAUUAAAUGAGAUGCAGCAAUUUGACAGGUGACUCACCAACAGUGGUGAGUGAAAGAAACCAGACACAGAAGAAUGCAUUCAUAUGAUUCUGUUUAAAGGUAGAAACUAAGCAAACCUGAUAAAUAGUGGAUAGGGUUGCAAAUAAAGGUGGCACAACUAAGGAAAAACAAGGGAAUGAUUAUAUCAAAAGUCGGGCGGGGGCUUCCCUGGUGGCGCAGUGGUUGAGAGUCUGCCUGCCGAUGCAGGGGACAUGGGUUCGUGCCCCGGUCCGGGAGGAUCCCACAUGCCGCGGAGCGGCUGGGCCCGUGAGCCAUGGCCACUGAGCCUGUGCGUCCGGAGCCUGUGCUCUGCAACGGGAGAGGCCACAACAGCUGGCAAGGGAGGAGGACCUGGGCCUACUCUGGGAAGAGCACCCAGUUGCCCACACCUCCUGCCUGACCAAGGCCCACUGACAAUGGACAAGGGGGAGGAAGACGACGACGAGGAAGCCUGGCUGCAGCUUCGGCCGGUGGAGCCCCUGCCCUCCCAGUGCUGCGGCAGUGGCUGCUCACCCUGCGUGUUUGACCUCUACCAGCGAGACCUAGCAAGUUGGGAGGCAGCCCGAGCCAGCAAGGACAGGAGCCUGCUGAGUGGAGAAGAGACACAGAGCUGUCCCUCCAAGCUGAGCCCAGAGACCUUCCUAGCCUUCUGCAUCAGUGCCACGGACAGACUCACUAAGGACACCUACCUUGUCCGGUUUGCAUUACCUGGGAACAGCCGGCUCGGCUUGUGGCCUGGCCAGCACCUCAUCCUACGAGGGAUAGUAGAUGGCUUAGAAAUUCAGAGAGCCUAUACGCCCAUCAGCCCUGCCAACGCAAAAGGAUACUUUGAAGUUUUAAUCAAGUGCUACCAGACAGGGCUGAUGUCCCAGUAUGUGGAGUCCUGGAAAGCAGGAGACACGGCUUUCUGGCGAGGACCUUUCGGAGGCUUCUUCUAUAAACCAAACCAGUAUGGUGAGCUCCUCAUGCUGGCUGCUGGCACUGGCCUGGCCCCCAUGGUGCCCAUCCUGCAGAGCAUCACAGACAACGCAGAGGAUGAGACCUUCAUCACCCUGGUGGGCUGCUUCAAGACCUUUGAGGGCAUCUACCUGAAAACCUUCCUCCGGGAGCAGGCUCAUUUCUGGAAUGUCCGCACCUUCUUUGUACUCAGCCAGAUGAGGAAACUGACGCUCAGAGGUGAAGGCACCAGCUGGUGUCAUGCUGCCAGACAGGGUGAAGCCAGGAUACGAACCCGAGACUGUCUGCUUCCAGAGCGCCAGCUCUCACCCACCAUGGUUUGCUGCCUGCCAUCCACCCUCUGGCCUCCUCUGUUGUAUGGACGGGGGGCCUGGUUGUAGAAUCAGUGGGCCAGGCACAGACGUCCUCUGGCUGUGAUAGCUCCUUGAGGCAGGGACCACGUGUCUGGAUCACCCCGCUUUCAAUGCUUUGCACAGCACCAGGCAUGGAGUAGGCGCUCACCCGGGCAAUGGCUGGUGGAGUAAACCGGGUCCAGUUCACUGCAUUUGUUAGGGUCUUUUCCACAUCACUUUGUUCCCACCUGGGAACAAAGCUGCUUUCAAAUCCUCCAAGUUACAGCCACUCUAGCUGGAAGCGGCUUUGCCUCCUGAGCCCUCUUCCCUCUGGUUCCCCGUCUCCUCCAUCCAUUCAAGCCACCCCUCUGGGCCCUCCCCACAGGGCCGCAGCAUGGAGGGCUGUCUUGCCCCUUACCUCAAGCCAGGCCCUCAGCUAUCUUUCUUCCCUCUCGUUCCCCAUCCCCGCCAUUCAUUCAAGCCGCCCCUCUGGGCCCUCCCCACAGGGCCGCAGCGUGGAGGGCUGUCUUGCGCCUCACCUCAAGCCAGGCCCUCAGCUAUCUUUGUUCGCUGGCCUUCGCCUAGUCUGUAGCUUUAUCUCUCUUUCCUGCACGCCCUGGGUUGAGGUUCCCUGCCGGUGCCUCCCCUCCAUUCUCUUGGUCAGGGUCAGCCUCAUUACCCUGUACUUUGGAGCACCCUUGUCAUCAAUUUCCUCUUGAGACAGCUUUAGAGUGUCCCUAAAGACUUACAUGAUCCUCGACAUUGUGGCUGGGUGGGGGAGGGUGUCAGGAAACCAGAGGUCCUGAGGUCCCCGGGGCCAGAGUCCACAGGCCUGUGCACGGGGCAGAAUGCUCUGUGGCGUGAACACCGAGAGGGUCGUGCUUGGUGAACAUUAGCAGCGACAGCAGCGCCCAAGGUCAGGGAUGAAGCAGAGGGCUAAGGUCCAGCCGAGGGGAGAGGGGCGAGGGAAGGGCCACUCCUGCCGGGAGCACUCUCAGCCCUGCCUAAGAGCUGGUCGGGGAAGGUGGCAGGAAGGCAGGCACCUGGCAGAAUUGCCCUGGCGGUUGGCCAGCCUUCCUUUCCCCCACCACGUGCCAGGUGCCAGGGAUUUAAAAACGAAAAUGGGACUUCCCUGGCAGUCCAGUGGUUAAGAUUCUGUGCUUCCACUGCAGGGGACGGGGGUUCAAUACCUGGUCAGGGAACUAAGAUCCCACAUGCCUCACAGGGUGGCCAAAAAAAUUUUUUUUAAUAAAUAAAUAAAAAUAAAAAUGAAGAUGACCUCUUACUGCCCUCCAGGUGCUCAUCUAUAUGUGUGGAGACAGCCACGGAGAUGGCUGACAAGGGUUCCCCUUCAUCGAGCACCUUCUCUAUGCCUAGCACUGUUCUAAGCACUUCAUGUGUACUAACUCAUUUAAUCCCCACCACCAUCUUAGGAGGCUUAUACUGCCAUCAUGUCCUUUUAAUAGAUGUGGAAACUGAGACACAGAGAGGUUAAGAAGCUUGCCCAAGGUAACACAGCAAGUUGGUGGCGAGACCAUGCUCUUAUUGCUUGUCAGUGUAAGACAGCACAGGGAUAGGUGCUGUGGAGGGUGUUCAGGGUGCUGGAGGCAAGCAGAGAGGGCUUCACAGAGGAGAUGGCAUUGGAGCCCGGGCUUGAGGGCAGAGUUAAAGUUCACCAGCAAUAGGGGACCUUCUACCCUGGGCCGGGGCUUUGAUGAGGCCAGUGCCCUGGGGUUGGGCAGGCGAGUGGGCUGGCUGUCAAUAGCUGGGGAAGGUGAGGGAUGGUGGAGUGAGAGGUGCCUCCUGCCUGUCCAUGCUUCCUCCACUCCGGGUGCUGCCUGGGCCAUAGCGACAGCAUCAUCAAGGAUCUCCCUGCUCCAGCCACUCCUUGACGAUUUGUCCUUCAUCCUGCAGCCGGAAGGGCAGCUCUGACCACAUCACUGCCCUGCUUCCUGUCCUUCCCUAGCUCCCCACCGCUCUCAAGGCUAUGUGCCAGCCCUCCAUGGCCUCGCCUUCCGGCCCACUCCGGCUGCAUGCUGCGUUCUGGUGUCACCGGUCUGCCUGUGGUCGCAAGUGCUCUGUGCUUUUCUGGCUCCUGGGUCUUUGCUCGUAUGGUUCCCCCUGCCAGGCACACUUUUUCCCACUUCUUCACCUAACGCCCACUCAUCCCUCGCAUCUCUCUGCUAAGGUGUAAUUCCAUCCUGGGAACUUUCCCUGAGCCUCCAGGCUGGUGUAGAUGUUUCUGCUGUCACGGCCCAGGCUCUGCUUCCUAGCACCCACCCCACUGCAUCACCAUUGUUUAUGGGUCCCCUCCCCACUUGAGCAGCAACCAGACCCCAUGCAUCUCUGGGUGCACAGUCAAGGUCAGCUGCACUGAACCUAACUGGCCUAGGGGGAUCGGGCAUUGGGAAGGAGGGGCAAGGCCAACGGGCCCUACUCGUUCCUGCCCUCGAGGGCCCAUUGGGCAGGUCAGAGCACGAAGGGCAUGCAAGAAGAUGCAGAUCAUCAGAGAGUGUACCCUGUCAGCAGCACAGCACUGUACUCAGAGGCCCUCGGGGUCUGGUGAGCUCUGUGAGUGCGCCUGAGAUUCGAGGCCCGCAUUCAUGGAGGCUCUCUCAGCGCUUCCCUGUCCGCUGCGCUCAUCUCAGUAGCUCAGAGAGGUCAUGGCUCCUCACCAGAAAAUGGUGGCAAAGCUUGGAUUCCAACCCCAACCCCUCUCUCUCCAUCCUGUCUCGCUGCUUGGCCCCGGGAACCAGAAGUUCAUCUCGAUAGGGUCUGCAGAGGUGAUGGUCCUGUUCUGUUGUGGGUUCUGUUUUGUUUUGGACGCUGGUUACAUGGUUUAUUCUCUUCGUUAAAAUUCUCCAAACUAUAUAAACUUCACGAUUUUUAUACAUAUGUUAUACUCCAAUAAAAUGUUUACUUAAAAGAUA